rnacentral:rRNA from 1 species
GACGAACGCUGGCGGCGUGCCUAACACAUGCAAGUCGAACGGGGUGAAGAGCUUCGGCUUUUCACUUAGUGGCGGACGGGUGAGUAACGCGUGAGGAACCUGCCUUUCAGAGGGGGACAACAGUUGGAAACGACUGCUAAUACCGCAUAACGCGUAGAGGUCGCAUGGCCUUUACGCCAAAGAUUUAUCGCUGAAAGAUGGCCUCGCGUCUGAUUAGCUAGUUGGUGAGGUAACGGCCCACCAAGGCGACGAUCAGUAGCCGGACUGAGAGGUUGAACGGCCACAUUGGGACUGAGAUACGGCCCAGACUCCUACGGGAGGCAGCAGUGGGGAAUAUUGCACAAUGGGCGAAAGCCUGAUGCAGCAACGCCGCGUGAGGGAAGACGGUCUUCGGAUUGUAAACCUCUGUCCUUGGUGACGAACAAAUGACGGUAGCCUUGGAGGAAGCCACGGCUAACUACGUG